rnacentral:sRNA from 1 species
AUUUUACUUGCAGUGUGGGCAGCUGGAGUGGAGUGGAGAAUUUUACCCUGUGCCUCCCUGGCAGGGAGAGAAGAGGCCCACGACUGGCUCCUACAGAUAUUAAAGAGGAGACUGAAACUGUUCCUUGGACAUCUUAUGAGUGUCAGAAAAUACCUUUUGGAGGGUUAGAAGAUCAGAGGACAUGGUUGUUCACAUUUGCUGCCAUGGAUCACCGCCAGUCUUCACUUGGAAACAGAAUCACACCUUGUGAAGAGAUCAUCCCUAAGCAGGAGAGAAGCUACUAAAGGGUGGUGUCCUCCUCCUCCUUCCCUGUGCUCGGUCUCCACCUGU